GCCUUAGCUCAGUUGGUAGAGCAAAGGACUGAAAAUCCUUGUGUCGCUGGUUCGAUUCCCGCAGGCAC
rnacentral:tRNA from 1 species